AGGGAGCAUCCAAAAGAUGGGAUGUUAACUGAUACCUUCCUACAGAAAACCUCUAGUAUUUCCUGCUUGCAGUAUUUGAGCAAUAUCUAGAAGUCUCUGAUUCUUAGAGAAAUGA